rnacentral:rRNA from 1 species
UACGUAGGGGGCAAGCGUUGUCCGGAGUUAUUGGGCGUAAAGCGCGCGCAGGCGGUGCGGUAAGUCUCUGGUGAAAGCGCUCGGCUUAACUGGGCGAGGGCCGGGGAGACUGCCACGCUGGAGGGGAGCAGAGGCGAGUGGAAUUCCGGGUGUAGUGGUGAAAUGCGUAGAGAUCCGGAGGAACACCAGUGGCGAAGGCGGCUCGCUGGGCUCUACCUGACGCUGAGGCGCGAAAGCGUGGGGAGCGAACCGG